UACGUAGGGGGCAAGCGUUGUCCGGAUUUAUUGGGCGUAAGGAGCGUGUAGGCGGCCAGAUAGGUCCGUUGUGAAAACUCGAGGCUCAACCUCGAGACGCCGAUGGAAACCAUCUGGCUAGAGUCCGGAAGAGGAGAGUGGAAUUCCCGGUGUAGCGGUGAAAUGCGCAGAUAUCGGGAAGAACACCCGUGGCUAAGGCGGCUCUCUAGUACGGUACUGACGCUGAGA
rnacentral:rRNA from 1 species